CCCUUAGACGUUCUGGGCCGCACGCGCGCUACACUGACCAGUGCAACAAGCAUCCGUCCUUGGCCGACAGGCCCAGGCAAUCUUUGAACGCUGUUCGUGAUUGGGAUAGACCUUUGCAAUUAUGGGUCUUCAACGAGGAAUUCCUAGUAAACGCAAGUCAUCAGCUUGCAUUGAUUACGUCCCUGCCCUUUGUACACACCGCCCGUCGCACCUACCGAUUGAAUGGUCCGGUGAAAUCUCGGGACGGCGGCUUGGUCGCUUGCGUCCGACUGCUGAAACUUGAUUAAACCAUAUCAUUUAGAGGAAGGUGAANUCGUANCA
rnacentral:rRNA from 1 species